rnacentral:sRNA from 1 species
CAAGGCCCAAACCCGGCCAUGGAUGCCGUC